GAUAACUUUUAAUCUAAUGGUCACAUUUAAUCCAUACGUGUUUCUUCCUCUGUCCAAUACCACUUUCCUCUUUUCUCUGCCCAACCACGUUUCUUCUCUUCUCUCUUCACCUUCUUCCAUGCCGAAUCUUCUUCAUCUCUACACCAUUCUUACAGUCUAAAACAAAAUCAAUCUUUUGUUUUCUUUAAUGUUUGUCAUCUUUACUUUCAGAAACCUCUUCCCAAAUCGAUAACCCUAACUUCGGAAACGAGAGUGAAAGAAACCGAAGAAGAGGGAACAGGAGAAUCGUAAACGGAGAGGGAUCCGUCUAUGGACUCGAUUCUCACUAUCGUCACCACCAUCUCUCUCUCUCUCUCUCCUCUGUUGGAAUUUCUCCUUAUGGCCAUUAACACGAGCUUCAUUGUUGAAAUUGCAGGUCGUAAAAAAACUUUCAGAUCUGGUGCAGCAAAGACAGAGGUUCUGGUUUUGUAGAACAAUUUAGAACAUAGAAGACAUGGCCGGAGAGGAAGACGGAGGAGACACCGCCGGAGAGGAAGACGGAGGAGACGCGGCUUGAGAAGAAGACUGAGGAGACACGGCCGGAGAGAAAGACGGAGGAGACACCGCCGGAGAGUAUAUAAUAUUAAUUUUAUCUAUAAUUUAAUUUUUAUUUUUUUUAAUUAAUUUUUUUAGAAUAGCCACGGACAUGUAGUGUUAAACCGUGGUUAUACAUAGCCAUGAUAAAUCUUUGGCAAAACCGUCGCUAUCUGAGCCACAAAAAUGUAGUGGCACACGAAUAGCCACGGUUUUUUUUCCAGCCACGAGGCUAUAAUCACUGGGUUUUUUUAAUCUAGAAGCGUGGCUAUUUUUUGUAUAGCCACGAUUUUCAGCUGUAUAGCCACUGUUUUGCUGUGGCUAUGCGACAUAUUUUUGACAUAUUUUUACUAGUGACGGUGCAAGUAAAUCUUGCCAGGCGUGGAUCUUCAAAGAACGGUUCAGGUGAUGUAGUUAGGCGUAGAUGCUCAUAAGACAGUUAGUAUUGUCGGUUGUCGAAUCAUUUAUAUAAUUUUUCUCAUAAUUGUAA
rnacentral:lncRNA from 1 species